rnacentral:rRNA from 1 species
UGUUGCUUGCAAGGGCGUAUGGUGGAUGCCUUGGCAGACAGGACCGAUGAAGGACGUUUGAGGCUGCGAUAUGCCUCGGGGAGCCGCCAACAGGGCUUUGAUCCGAGGAUUUCCGAAUGGGGGAACCCACCGACCGUCAUGGGUCGGUACCGGCUUCGGCCGGGGGGUACGCAGGGAAGUGAAACAUCUCAGUACCUGCAGGAAAGGAUAUUCCGUGAGUAGUGGCGAGCGAAAGCGGAUGAUGGCCAAACCUUGCGCGUGUGAUACCCGUCGGGGGUUGCGCGCGGGGUGUUGCGGGAUCGCGUGCGCCGGCUCCGACGGGCCGGCCGGCAGUUGCAGAAAACCAUGUGUCAGGGGAACCGGGUUGAAUACCGGGCCGCAGAGGGUGAGGGCCCCGUACCUGAACGCGCAUGGUCUGCCGAUCGCGUCUCCCAAGUAGCACGGGUCCCGUGGAACCCCGUGCGAAUCCGCCCAGACCGUUGGGUAAGCCUGAAUAUUCCUGUCUGACCGAUAGCGAACGAGUACCGUGAGGGAAAGGUGAAAAGUACCCCGGGAGGGGAGUGAAACAGUCUCUGAAACCGUGCGCCUACAAUCCGUCGGAGCCCUUUUGUGGGGUGACGGCGUGCCUAUCGAAAAAUGAGUCUGCGAGUCAGUGGCAUGUGGCGAGCAUAACCCGUGUGGGGUAUGCGUAGCGAAGGCGAGUCUUAAAAGGCGUUUGAGUCGCGUGUCCUGGACCCGAAGCGGGAUGAUCUAGCCCUGAGCAGGUUGAAGCGCGGGUAAGACCGCGUGGAGGACCGAACCCACCUGGGUUGAAAACCGGGGGGAUGACCUGGGGCUAGGGGUGAAAGGCCAAUCAAAUUCCGUGAUAGCUGGUUCUCUCCGAAAUGCAUUUGGGUGCAGCGUCGGGUCAUUACGUCCCGGGGGUAGAGCUACUGGAUGCUUGCGGGCCCGUAUCGGGUACCAACAGCAACCAAACUCCGAAUACCGGUGACGCGUAUCCCGGCAGUGAGUCGGCGGGGGAUAAGCUUCGUCGUCGAAAGGGAAACAGCCCAGACCGUCGUCUAAGGUCCCGAAGCGUGUGCUAAGUGGGAAAGGAUGUGGAGUCGCAUAGACAGCCAGGAGGUUGGCUCAGAAGCAGCCACCCUUGAAAGAGUGCGUAACAGCUCACUGGUCUAGUGGUUCCGCGCCGACAAUGUAGCGGGGCUCAAGCACACCACCGAAGACGCGGCAGUAUUUUGUACUGGGUAGGAGAGCGUCCCAUGAGGGGCGAAGCGGCCGUGUGAACGCGCCGUGGACUUCAUGGGAGUGAGAAUGCAGACAUGAGUAGCGAGAGACGGGUGAAGAUCCCGUCCGCUGGAUGACCAAGGGUUCCAGGGCCACGUUCAUCGUCCCUGGGUGAGUCGGGUCCUAAGGCGAGGCCGACAGGCGUAGUCGAAUGGAUGAACGGGUCGAUAUUCCCGUACCGGCUUUCAGCCGCCAAAACCGAGGCUUGGAGUACUAACCUCCGGGUCCGGGCUUACUGCUCCUUCGGGGGCGGGAUGCCCUGGCCUGUUGGGACCGAUCCUUGUAGUAGGUCAGCGCAGGAGUGACGCAGAAGGGUAGCCGGCCGCGGAGGUGGUCUUCCGUGGUCAAGCACGCAGGGCGUGGGACAGGCAAAUCCGUCCCGCAUGGGUCCGAGGUGCGAUGAUGGGGGCCUUAUGGCCCGAUAUCCGGUGAUCCCGGCUGCCGAGAAAAGCUUCGGCGUCAGGCUCAAAGCCGCCCGUACCCCAAACCGACACUGGUGGUCAGGUAGAGAAUACCAAAGCGAUCGAGCGAAUCCUGGUCAAGGAACUCGGCAAAUCACUCCCGUUCCUUCGGUUUAAGGGAGACCCCCGAUGGUGAACACACUUGCUGUGGGAGCUUUUGGGGGUGGCACAGACCAGGGGGUAGCGACUGUUUACCAAAAACACAGGUGCAUGCGAAGGCGCAAGCCGCUGUAUAUGCACUGACGCCUGCCCGGUGCCGGAAGGUUAAGAGGAUCCGUCAGCCUUCGGGUGAAGCGGUGAAUUCAAGCCCCGGUAAACGGCGGUGGUAACUAUAACCAUCCUAAGGUAGCGAAAUUCCUUGUCGGGUAAGUUCCGACCUGCACGAAUGGCGUA